UGGAAGAGCCGUGUAUUAUCGA
rnacentral:siRNA from 1 species